UUGGUCAUUUAGAGGAAGUAAAAGUCGUAACAAGGUCUCCGUAGGUGAACCUGCGGAGGGAUCAUUACACAAAUAUGAAGGCGGGCUGGAACCUCUCGGGGUUACAGCCUUGCUGAAUUAUUCACCCUUGUCUUUUGCGUACUUCUUGUUUCCUUGGUGGGUUCGCCCACCACUAGGACAAACAUAAACCUUUUGUAAUUGCAAUCAGCGUCAGUAACAAAUUAAUAAUUACAACUUUCAACAACGGAUCUCUUGGUUCUGGCAUCGAUGAAGAACGCAGCGAAAUGCGAUAAGUAGUGUGAAUUGCAGAAUUCAGUGAAUCAUCGAAUCUUUGAACGCACAUUGCGCCCUUUGGUAUUCCAAAGGGCAUGCCUGUUCGAGCGUCAUUUGUACCCUCAAGCUUUGCUUGGUGUUGGGCGUCUUGUCUCUAGCUUUGCUGGAGACUCGCCUUAAAGUAAUUGGCAGCCGGCCUACUGGUUUCGGAGCGCAGCACAAGUCGCACUCUCUAUCAGCAAAGGUCUAGCAUCCAUUAAGCCUUUUUUUCAACUUUUGACCUCGGAUCAGGCAGGGAUACCCGCUGAACUUAAGCAUAUCAAUAAG
rnacentral:rRNA from 1 species